rnacentral:lncRNA from 1 species
CUUCACAAUUGGUUUUACGGGUUCACCAAUAAACCUACACCAUUGGUUUUGCGGGCUCACCAACAAACCUUUACAAGGUGAUUAACAAAAGAAAGAAGAAAGUUGAAGCUCCUAGAUGAGCAAAUAUAAUAAUUAUAAGCUACAAAGAAGAGUUUAGAAUAUAGUUAUCGCUUGAUGAAACUUCUCUCUUCUUUGUCAAGAAUGCUUUACUCUUCAAGGGUGGAUGGAGCUCUUAAUAUCUCUUGAAAUCUGCUCAACCACUUUCUUUUGACUCUUUGAAUGAAGCACUUGGAUGGAGAAGAUUAGGGCACUUGUCUUUCUUGUGUAAGCUUUGAUAUUUUGCAAAAGGAUGUUUUCUCUGAUGAAUAGUAUCCCUUUAAAUAGUUUUCC